rnacentral:rRNA from 1 species
UACGUAGGGGGCAAGCGUUGUCCGGAUUUAUUGGGCGUAAAGAGCGUGUAGGCGGCCAGGUAGGUCCGGUGUGAAAACUCGAGGCUUAACCUCGAGAUGUCAUCGGAAACCAUCUGGCUAGAGUCCGGAAGAGGAGAGUGGAAUUCCUGGUGUAGCGGUGAAAUGCGCAGAUAUCAGGAAGAACACCAGUGGCGAAGGCGGGU